AAUAAUUGCCCUGAUGGUGAUCGUGUGGAAGAGAUAGUCUGGCCACCCUAUGGAAGAGACUAGUCCUAUCUACAGUCAAUAAUUGAACUCACUGGAGGAGGUGACCAGUAAAGGGACUAUAGCAUCACUAGUGUCCAGUGUCAAUGAAUAUAUUAAUAAUAAAUCUAACAUGGAGGACACUGUCAAAAGUGAGCAUGAUUGCAGGCAACUGGUGAAGGACUUAAGGAAACAAUUGGUUGAAGUGAAAAGAGA